rnacentral:rRNA from 1 species
GACGAACGCUGGCGGCGUGCCUAAUACAUGCAAGUAGAACGCAGUUGCGAACGGGUGAGUAACGCGUAGGUAACUGCCUCAUAGCGAGGGAUAACUAUUGGAAACGAUAGCUAAUACCGCAUCCUGUGAGAUGGACCUGCGUUGUAUUAACUAGUUGGUGAGGUAAAGGCUCACCAAGGCGACGAUACAUAGCCGACCUGGGUGGGUGAUCGGCCAGACAGUGCCUGGGACACGGCCCGGACACACACGGGAGGCAGCAGUAGGUAAAGUACGGGUAUGGACGGAAGUCUGACCGAGCAACGACGCGUGAAUGAAGAAGGUUCUCGGAUCGUAAAGCUCUGGUGUUAGAGAUGCGGUAACUAACCAGAAAGGGAGGGCGAACUACGUGCCAGCCGCCGCGGUAAUUC